rnacentral:tRNA from 1 species
GGGCCCGUGGCCUAGUCAGGAUGGGGCGCCGGCCUGCGAAGCCGGUGGUCGAGGGUUCAAAUCCCUCCGGGCCCG